rnacentral:rRNA from 1 species
UUCUUGGUCAUUUAGAGGAAGUAAAAGUCGUAACAAGGUUUCCGUAGGUGAACCUGCGGAAGGAUCAUUAAAGAAAUUUAAUAAUUUUGAAAAUGGAUUUUUUUGUUUUGGCAAGAGCAUGAGAGCUUUUACUGGGCAAGAAGACAAGAGAUGGAGAGUCCAGCCGGGCCUGCGCUUAAGUGCGCGGUCUUGCUAGGCUUGUAAGUUUCUUUCUUGCUAUUCCAAACGGUGAGAGAUUUCUGUGCUUUUGUUAUAGGACAAUUAAAACCGUUUCAAUACAACACACUGUGGAGUUUUCAUAUCUUUGCAACUUUUUCCUUGGGCAUUCGAGCAAUCGGGGCCCAGAGGUAACAAACACAAACAAUUUUAUCUAUUCAUUAAAUUUUUGUCAAAAACAAGAAUUUUCGUAACUGGAGAUUUUAAAAUAUUAAAAACUUUCAACAACGGAUCUCUUGGUUCUCGCAUCGAUGAAGAACGCAGCGAAAUGCGAUACGUAAUGUGAAUUGCAGAAUUCCGUGAAUCAUCGAAUCUUUGAACGCACAUUGCGCCCCUUGGUAUUCCAGGGGGCAUGCCUGUUUGAGCGUCAUUUCCUUCUCAAACAUUCUGUUUGGUAGUGAGUGAUACUCUUUGGAGUUAACUUGAAAUUGCUGGCCUUUUCAUUGGAUGUUUUUUUUCCAAAGAGAGGUUUCUCUGCGUGCUUGAGGUAUAAUGCAAGUACGGUCGUUUUAGGUUUUACCAACUGCGGCUAAUCUUUUUUUAUACUGAGCGUAUUGGAACGUUAUCGAUAAGAAGAGAGCGUCUAGGCGAACAAUGUUCUUAAAGUUUGACCUCAAAUCAGGUAGGAGUACCCGCUGAACUUAAGCAUAUCAAUAAGCGGAGGAA